AUUGAACGCUGGCGGCAGGCUUAACACAUGCAAGUCGAGCGGAGAUGAGGUGCUUGCACCUUAUCUUAGCGGCGGACGGGUGAGUAAUGCUUAGGAAUCUGCCUAUUAGUGGGGGACAACAUUCCGAAAGGAAUGCUAAUACCGCAUACGCCCUACGGGGGAAAGCAGGGGAUCUUCGGACCUUGCGCUAAUAGAUGAGCCUAAGUCGGAUUAGCUAGUUGGUGGGGUAAAGGCCUACCAAGGCGACGAUCUGUAGCGGGUCUGAGAGGAUGUUCAGCCACACUGGGACUGAGAGACGGCCCAGACUCCUACGGGAGGCAGCAGUGGGGAAUAUUGGACAAUGGGCGGAAGCCUGAUCCAGCCAUGCCGCGUGUGUGAAGAAGGCCUUUUGGUUGUAAAGCACUUUAAGCGAGGAGGAGGCUACCUGGAUUAAUACUCUAGGAUAGUGGACGUUACUCGCAGAAUAAGCACCGGCUAACUCUGUGCCAGCAGCCACAGUAAUAC
rnacentral:rRNA from 1 species